UUCAUGAAAGCUUUAGGGUUACACAAGAAUGAUGGUUGGCCUAAGGAAGAAGUCAAACAAGAUGGUAAACCACCCCGACCCCGAGCUUACCAUGCCAUUAGGGACAUGCUAAAUAAACUUUUGAAGCAAAAUGAUGAAUCAAGAUAAAUAGUGACAGGCCAUAGUCUCGGUGGGGCUCUAGCAAUUCUGUUUCCAGUGAUUUUGG
rnacentral:lncRNA from 1 species